UAUGGAAUCUUGCACAAUGGGCGAAAGCCUGAUGCAGCAACGCCGCGUGAAGGAUGAAGGCCCUAGGGUCGUAAACUUCUGUUCUUGGGGAAGAUAAUGACGGUACCCAAGGAGCAAGCCCCGGCUAACUACGUGCCAGCAGCCGCGGUAAUACGUAGGGGGCAAGCGUUAUCCGGAAUUAUUGGGCGUAAAGGGUGCGUAGGUGGUUACCUAAGCGCAGGGUUUAAGGCAAUGGCUCAACCAUUGUUCGCCUUGCGAACUGGGCUACUUGAGUGCAGGAGAGGAAAGCGGAAUUCCUAGUGUAGCGGUGAAAUGCGUAGAUAUUAGGAGGAACACCAGCGGCGAAGGCGGCUUUCUGGACUGUAACUGACACUGAGGCACGAAAGCGUGGGGAGCAAACAGG
rnacentral:rRNA from 2 species